rnacentral:rRNA from 1 species
UACGAAGGGUGCGAGCGUUAAUCGGAAUUACUGGGCGUAAAGCGCGCGUAGGUGGUUUGGUAAGCGAUAUGUGAAACCCCCGGGCUCAACCUGGGAACUGCAUGUCGAACUGCCAGGCUAGAGUAUGGUAGAGGGGUGUGGAAUUUCCUGUGUAGCGGUGAAAUGCGUAGAUAUAGGAAGGAACAUCAGUGGCGAAGGCGACACCCUGGACCGAUACUGACACUGAGGCGCGAAAGCGUGGGUAGCGAACAGG